ACGAACGCUGGCGGCGUGCUUAACACAUGCAAGUCGAACGAAGAGCGAUGGAAGCUUGCUUCUAUCAAUCUUAGUGGCGAACGGGUGAGUAACGCGUAAUCAACCUGCCCUUCAGAGGGGGACAACAGUUGGAAACGACUGCUAAUACCGCAUACGAUCUAAUCUCGGCAUCGAGGAUAGAUGAAAGGUGGCCUCUACAUGUAAGCUAUCACUGAAGGAGGGGAUUGCGUCUGAUUAGCUAGUUGGAGGGGUAACGGCCCACCAAGGCGAUGAUCAGUAGCCGGUCUGAGAGGAUGAACGGCCACAUUGGGACUGAGACACGGCCCAGACUCCUACGGGAGGCAGCAGUGGGGAAUCUUCCGCAAUGGACGAAAGUCUGACGGAGCAACGCCGCGUGAGUGAUGACGGCCUUCGGGUUGUAAAGCUCGGUUAAUCGGGACGAAAGGCCUUCUUGCGAACAGUUAGAAGGAUUGACGGUACCGGAAUAGAAAGCCACGGCUAACUACGUG
rnacentral:rRNA from 1 species